CUCGGAUCUCCCGCCUUGCACACUUUCCAGAUCACGUGACGGUGUAAGGAUCUCUAAACUCGAGAAUUUAUGUCAACAUUUUUCAUUCAUGUUUUAUGACAUUACUGUUUUACUAAUGGGGAAAUAAUAAAUGAAGAAUAAUUAUGAAUCGUUAUAAAAAUUGUCCAUAUUCUUUUCAAUUGUAUUUUGUUUUCAUAUGUUGUAAUUGAAAACUAUGAAACAAGUGCAAUGUGUGAAUUUUAAAGCGACCUACGACAAUCUUUGACUUUCUUUGACUUAACCUAAUAAAUGUAUUCCACCGUCAUAAUAAAUCGGCACUCUAAU